UUCUCUUUUCCUUGCUGUCCCCGGGGCUGGAGGAGCACGGGCCUCCCCGGGAGUGGGCUUCGGCCUCCCUGGACUCCUGUCUCCUUCCAAGGAGUAGGGCCUGAGGGACUAGAAGCAGGAGUCGCUAGAGCAUCCAAGAUUUUUGGUUUCAAACCAAUUUCCUGCUGACCAGAAUGAAAUGGAGCCACAUUUCAGCAUGAUGCACCUGCUGACCUCCUGCAAGUCAGGGACCUUCUCUGCCCCUCUUUUGCUCCGCUGCAGGAGGGGGAAGCUGGGAAUGUGCUCCUCUGGGGUCCCAUCACCUCCAGCCAGCCACUGUCGCUGUCUCCCCAAAACCUCCUCGUUGUCCCUCCUCUGUCCUCCUCCUCCAACUGCCUUCGCCCUGCUCUCCUCUUUGUCGCCUGAGGUUCGUGCUGCCUCCUCACCUCUUGUCGUGUUUCUCCCUUCUCUCUGCUCCCUCCUUUGAUCUUGCUAUUUUGCUUCUCUUUCCCUUCCUCUCUUCUCCUCCCUCCCCUUCCUCCCUGCUCCCUGCCUCAGCUCCUCAGUCUCUCUCCAUUCUUCCUCUAGCUUCCUUCCCUCCCCAGAAGACCCAGCCCUUCCUAGAGCCCCAGAAGCCAGGGUUCAUGCCCCAGCUCUCUACCCACACGUGCUGUGCAACCCUGGGCCAGUCGCUGGUCUCUUGGGCCUCAGUUCAACAGAUGGCUGUCUUGGUGAUGUGAGAUCAUAGGGUGGAAGCACCCAGAAUGGUGCCAGGCACUCAAAAACUUUUUUCUUUUCCUUUUUAAGGAACUACUAACCUUGAGGUUAUGGAUUACCAAACCCUUCCUGUUCUUGGAAUCUGGGUCCUACUAUUCCCAAGAAUUUGAAUUACCACGGGUCCCUGGGGAGGUAAGGGGAUGAGGCUUCUGGUGUACUUUGGGAAGGGGAGGAGUGUGAAAAGGAGUUGGGAGGACACUCUAGCAUUGCCCAGAGGGCAGAGGACGUUCUGCCUAUUUCCAGAGGUUAUUGACCCUGGACCUCUUUUAUGGACUUCCUCACCCAGGCCCCUUGAGCUUGGCCAUACUUGAGGCAAUGGGGUAUCUUCCUUCUCCUGGAGCCCCUUGAAUCUUAGGCCUCGGGAACACACAGCCUAUCUGGUUUCUUGGCUGCACCCACAGAGGAGAGCCCCAUACUCCUCGCUUACAACCAGCAAAGACUCCGCAGCCAUCCCUGCACACAACUCAGGCUCCUUGGCUUGGCACUCAAGGCUCUUUGCCUUCCUGUCCUGCUUUGCUUCCAGCUGCAAAGAUGGUGGCUCCCUGUUUUCCUUUGCUGAAGUUGAUUCUCAGCCAGACAUGCCUUCCCCCUGCACGCUUCCCUCAGCCAUCCUAUCUGGGACCCUGACCCAAUCAAUGGUUCCCUAAUGCACCUUUGAGACCAAGCGUACCUGGCACCAAGAUCACGCCAUAGCACUCCAGCCUCAGUGAUAAAGUGACAUUCUGUCUCAAAAGAAAAGGAACUGGCCAAGCGUGAUGGCUCACGUCUGUAAUCCCAGCACUUUGGGAGGCCGAGACAGGUGGAUCACCUGAGAUCAGGAGUUCGAGACUAGCCUGGCCAACAUGAUGAAACCCCAUCUCUACUAAAAAUACAAUAAUUAGCUGGGCGUGGUGGCGGGCGCCUGUAAUCCCAGCUACUCAGGAGGUUGAGGCAGGAGAAUCACUUGAACCCGGGAGGUGAAGUGAGCCAAGAUUGUGCCACUACGCUCCAGUCUGGGCGACAAGAGUGAAACUCAGUCUCAAAAGAAAAAGAAAAAGAGAAAAGAAGAAGGAAAAAGAACUAUCAUUGGAUCCAGGAAUCUCACUGAGUAUCUAACCAAAGGAAAAGAAAUCACUAUACCAAAAUGACACUGCAUUUGUAUGUUUAUCACAGCACUAUUCAUAAUAGCAAAGAUGCAGAAUCAACCUAAGUGUCCAUCAGCGGAUGAGUGAAUAAAUAAAAUGUUAUAUUGUAUACAUA